GAUGAACGCUCGCGGGAGGCCUAACACAUGCAAGCCGAGCGGUAUUUGUUCUUCGUAACCGCGAGAUCGGCGCACGGGUGCGUAACACGUGUGCAACCUGCCUUUAUCUGGGUGAUAGCCUUUCUAAAGGAAGAUUAAUACCCCAUAAUAUAUUGAUUGUCAUCCCUUGAUAUUGAAAACUCCUUUGGCUAGAUAUGGGCACGCGCAAGAUUAGCUAGUUGGUGAGGUAACGGCUCACCAAGUCAAUGAUCUUUAGGGGGCCUGAGAGGGUGAUCCCCCACACGGGGACGGAGAAAAGGACCAGACGCCUACGGGAGGCAGCAGUGAGGAAGAUUGGACAAUGGGUUAGCGCCUGAUCCAGCCAUCCCGCGUGAAGGACGACGGCCCUAUGGGUUGUAAACUUCUUUUGGAUAGGGAUAAACCUACUCUCGGGAGAGUAGCUGAAGGUACUAGACGAAGAAGCACCGGCUAACUACGUG
rnacentral:rRNA from 1 species